UUUAACUGAAGAGUUUGAUCAUGGCUCAGAUUGAACGCUGGCGGCAGGCUUAACACAUGCAAGUCGAGCGGGGGAAGGUAGCUUGCUACCGGACCUAGCGGCGGACGGGUGAGUAAUGCUUAGGAAUCUGCCUAUUAGUGGGGGACAACAUCUCGAAAGGGAUGCUAAUACCGCAUACGUCCUACGGGAGAAAGCAGGGGAUCUUCGGACCUUGCGCUAAUAGAUGAGCCUAAGUCGGAUUAGCUAGUUGGUGGGGUAAAGGCCUACCAAGGCGACGAUCUGUAGCGGGUCUGAGAGGAUGAUCCGCCACACUGGGACUGAGACACGGCCCAGACUCCUACGGGAGGCAGCAGUGGGGAAUAUUGGACAAUGGGGGGAACCCUGAUCCAGCCAUGCCGCGUGUGUGAAGAAGGCCUUAUGGUUGUAAAGCACUUUAAGCGAGGAGGAGGCUACUUUAGUUAAUACCUAGAGAUAGUGGACGUUACUCGCAGAAUAAGCACCGGCUAACUCUGUGCCAGCAGCCGCGGUAAUACAGAGGGUGCGAGCGUUAAUCGGAUUUACUGGGCGUAAAGCGUGCGUAGGCGGCUUAUUAAGUCGGAUGUGAAAUCCCCGAGCUUAACUUGGGAAUUGCAUUCGAUACUGGUGAGCUAGAGUAUGGGAGAGGAUG
rnacentral:rRNA from 1 species